rnacentral:rRNA from 1 species
GACGAACGCUGGCGGCGUGCUUUACACAUGCAAAGUCGACCGAAAAGCGGAAAAGAGCUUUGCUCUUUUCAGAAUUGAGUGGCAAACGGGUGAGUAACACGUAAACAACCUGCCUUCAGGAUGGGGACAACAGACGGAAACGACUGCUAAUACCGAAUAAGUUCCAAGAGCCGCAUGGCCCAUGGAAGAGAAGGUGGCCUCUACCUGUAAGCUAUCGCCUGAAGAGGGGUUUGCGUCUGAUUAGCUGGUUGGAGGGGUAACGGCCCACCAAGGCGACGAUCAGUAGCCGGUCUGAGAGGAUGAACGGCCACACUGGAACUGAGACACGGUCCAGACUCCUACGGGAGGCAGCAGUGGGGAAUCUUCCGCAAUGGGCGAAAGCCUGACGGAGCAACGCCGCGUGAGUGAUGACGGCCUUCGGGUUGUAAAACUCUGUGAUCCGGGACGAAAAGGCAGAGUGCGAAGAACAAACUGCAUUGACGGUACCGGAAAAGCAAGCCCGG